GAUGAACGCUGGCGGCGUGCCUAAUACAUGCAAGUCGAGCGAACAGACGAGGAGCUUGCUCCUCUGACGUUAGCGGCGGACGGGUGAGUAACACGUGGAUAACCUACCUAUAAGACUGGGAUAACUUCGGGAAGCCGGAGCUAAUACCGGAUAAUAUAUUGAACCGCAUGGUUCAAUAGUGAAAGUCGGUUUUGCUGUCACUUAUAGAUGGAUCCGCGCCGCAUUAGCUAGUUGGUAAGGUAACGGCUUACCAAGGCAACGAUGCGUAGCCGCCCUGAGAGGGUGAACGGCCACACUGUAACUGAGACACGGUCCAGACUCCUACGGGUAGCAGCAGUAGGGAAACUUCCGCAAUAGGCGGAAGCCUGACGGAGCAACGCCGCGUAAGUGAUGAAGGUCUUCGGAUCGUAAAACUCUGUUAUUAGGGAAGAACAAAUGUGUAAGUAACUAUGCACGUCUUGACGGUACCUAAUCAGAAAGCCACGGCUAACUACGUG
rnacentral:rRNA from 1 species